GCUCAAAUUUGAAAUCUUAAAGGGUUUCCCUUUACGAAUUGUAGUUUAAAGAAGUGUUUUCUGUUGAGGUUUUGGUAAAAGUUCUUUGGAAUAGGACAUCGUAGAGGGUGAGAAUCCCGUAUUUGACCUUUACUUUCAACUUUGUGAUACACUUUCAAAGAGUCGGAUUGUUUGGGAAUGCAGUCCAAAAUGGGUGGUAAAUUUCAUCUAAAGCUAAAUAUUGGCGAGAGACCGAUAGCGAACAAGUACCGUGAGGGAAAGAUGAAAAGAACUUUGAAAAGAGAGUUAAACAGUACGUGAAAUUGUCAAAAGGGAAGCGUUUGACACCAGUGUUGUUUUUCUGAAAAUCAAUUAAAGAACUGUUUAUGCUAAGUUGUUUAGACUUUAUCAGCUAUCUGUUUAGUUUUGAGCUUUUCUUUAAUGCACUUUUCAGUUAACAAG
rnacentral:rRNA from 1 species